AUUGAACGCUGGCGGCAUGCCUUACACAUGCAAGUCGAACGGCAGCACGGGCUUCGGCCUGGUGGCGAGUGGCGAACGGGUGAGUAAUACAUCGGAACGUGCCCUGUAGUGGGGGAUAACUAGUCGAAAGAUUAGCUAAUACCGCAUACGACCUGAGGGUGAAAGCGGGGGACCGCAAGGCCUCGCGCUACAGGAGCGGCCGAUGUCUGAUUAGCUAGUUGGUGGGGUAAGAGCCUACCAAGGCGACGAUCAGUAGCUGGUCUGAGAGGACGAUCAGCCACACUGGGACUGAGACACGGCCCAGACUCCUACGGGAGGCAGCAGUGGGGAAUUUUGGACAAUGGGGGCAACCCUGAGCCAGCAAUGCCGCGUGUGUGAAGAAGGCCUUCGGGUUGUAAAGCACUUUUGUCCGGAAAGAAAUGGCUCUGGUUAAUACCUGGGGUCGAUGACGGUACCGGAAGAAUAAGCACCGGCUAACUACGUGCCAGCAGCCGCCGUAACAC
rnacentral:rRNA from 1 species